rnacentral:rRNA from 1 species
UCGAGGAUCUUCGGCAAUGGGCGCAAGCCUGACCGAGCGAUGCCGCGUGUGCGAUGAAGGCCUUCGGGUUGUAAAGCACUGUCGGGGGGGAGAAAAGCCUCGCAAGAGGUGUGAUCGACCCCCGGAGGAAGCACGGGCUAAGUUCGUGCCAGCAGCCGCGGUAAGACGAACCGUGCGAACGUUGUUCGGAAUCACUGGGCUUAAAGGGCGCGUAGGCGGGCUGCCAAGUCAGGGGUGAAAUCCUGCGGCUCAACCGUAGAAGUGCCUUUGAUACUGGUGGUCUUGAGGGAGGUAGGGGCGUGCGGAACUUCCGGUGGAGCGGUGAAAUGCGUAGAUAUCGGAAGGAACACCGGUGGCGAAAGCGGCGCGCUGGACCUCUUCUGACGCUGAGGCGCGAAAGCCAGGGGAGCGAACGGGAUUAGAUACCCCCGUAGUCC